GAGUUUGAUUAUGGCUCAGGACAAACGCUGGCGGCGUGCCUAACACAUGCAAGUCGAGCGGGGACAUGGGAACAGCAAUGAGCCUGUGUUCCAGCGGCGGACGGGUGAGUAACGCGUGAGCAACCUGGCCUGCACAGAGGGAUAACGAGGCGAAAGUCUCCCUAACACCUCAUGAGACCACACUGUUGCAUGACAGAGGGGUCAAAGGAGCAAUCCAGUGCGGGGUGGGCUCGCGUCCGAUUAGAUAGUUGGUGAGGUAACGGCUCACCAAGUCGACGAUCGGUAGCCGACCUGAGAGGGUGAUCGGCCACAUUGGGACUGAGACACGGCCCAAACUCCUACGGGAGGCAGCAGUGGGGAAUAUUGGGCAAUGGGGGAAACCCUGACCCAGCAACGCCGCGUGAGGGAAGAAGGUUUUCGGAUCGUAAACCUCUGUCCCAGGAGAAGAGCAGAAGACG
rnacentral:rRNA from 1 species